UACGAAGGGGGCUAGCGUUGCUCGGAAUUACUGGGCGUAAAGGGCGCGUAGGCGGAUAUCUAAGUUGGGGGGGAAAUCCCGGGGCUCAACCUCGGAAUUGCCUUCAAAACUGGAUAUCUUGAGUUCGGGAGAGGUGAGUGGAACUCCGAGUGUAGAGGUGAAAUUCGUAGAUAUUCGGAAGAACACCAGUGGCGAAGGCGACUCACUGGCCCGAUACUGACGCUGAGGCGCGAAAGCGUGGGGAGCAAACAGG
rnacentral:rRNA from 1 species